rnacentral:rRNA from 1 species
UACAGAGGUCUCAAGCGUUGUUCGGAUUCAUUGGGCGUAAAGGGUGCGUAGGCGGCGUGGUAAGUCGGGUGUGAAAUCUCGGAGCUCAACUCCGGAACUGCCAUUGAAACUGUUUAGCUUGAGGACGAGAGAGGUGAGUGGAAUUCCCAGUGUAGAGGUGAAAUUCGUAGAUAUUGGGAAGAACACCGGUGGCGAAGGCGGCUCACUGGCCCGAUACUGACGCUGAGGCACGAAAGCGUGGGGAGCAAACAGG